CUAAUACGUGCCUCGAUGCCCUGAUCCGCAAGGUGAGGGGUGCACUUAUUAGAUUACAGACCAAACGGCGCAAGCCGUAGUUUGUGGUGACUCUGGAUAACUUUGUAUGAUCGCAGCUGGCCUUGUUGUCGGCGACGGAUCCAUCAAAUAUCUGCCCUAUCAACUUUCGAUGGUAGGAGACAUGCCUACCAUGGUUAUGACGGGUAACGGGGAAUCAGGGUUCGAUUCCGGAGAGGGAGCCUGAGAAACGGCUACCACAUCCAAGGAAGGCAGCAGGCGCGUAAAUUACCCACUCUCUGAACGAGGAGGUAGUGAAGAUAAAUAUCGAUACAGAACUCAAAUGAGGCUCUGUAAUCGAAAUGAGUGCAAUAUAAAUCCUACAACGAGGAUCUAUUGGAGGGCAAGUCUGGUGCCAGCAGCCGCGGUAACUCCAGCUCCAAUAGCGUAUAUUAAAGUUGCUGCAGUUAAAAAGCUCGUAGUUGGAUCUGGGCCAUGUAGUGACUGUCGGUUUUGCCUUGUCAUAUUUCGG
rnacentral:rRNA from 1 species